UACAGAGGGUGCAAGCGUUAAUCGGAAUUACUGGGCGUAAAGCGUGCGCAGACGGUUGCGUAAGUCAGAUGUGAAAGCCCCGGGCUCAACCUGGGAACUGCAUUUGUGACUGCAUCGCUGGAGUGCGGCAGAGGGGGAUGGAAUUCCGCGUGUAGCAGUGAAAUGCGUAGAUAUGCGGAGGAACACCGAUGGCGAAGGCAAUCCCCUGGGCCUGCACUGACGCUCAUGCACGAAAGCGUGGGGAGCAAACAGG
rnacentral:rRNA from 1 species